rnacentral:rRNA from 1 species
ACGUAGGGUGCGAGCGUUGUCCGGAAUUACUGGGCGUAAAGGGCUCGUAGGUGGUUUGUCGCGUCGUCUGUGAAAUUCCGGGGCUUAACUCCGGGCGUGCAGGCGAUACGGGCAUAACUUGAGUACUGUAGGGGUAACUGGAAUUCCUGGUGGAGCGGUGAAAUGCGAAGAUAUGAGGAGGAGCACCGAUGGCGAAGGCAGCGUACAGGACAGGAACUGAUGCUAAGGCGCGAAAGCUAGGGUAGCGAACAG